GGUUGCCAUUCUUUUUUUGAUUAAACAGUUUUCUCUUGGUUACUGGCUAGCUAGUGAGUAAGGGAAGAUUGUUGUAUUUUCUUUGGGGUUUUCAUUUGUUAGGUAAGUUAUAUUUAAUUCCUUGUUAGGUAGAAUUCUUUUUGGUUUGUUAUUUUGGCGUGAACCCCUCCUGAAGAGUCAUGCUUUCAGCUUUUCUAUUUCUGUGUAAAUAAAAAAGCUUAUCUUUUGAUACUA